CAAAAGUAAAACACUUUCCUCUCCUCAGAUUUCCUCACCCGAUCUGCUCUUCCUCUCUCUCUCUUUCUCUUCACCUUUUUUUGUCAUCCAUUCUUGAGAAAGAGAAAAAAAAAAGCUUGUGUUGAUAUUUGGAAACCUUGUGAGGAAGAUCGGAAAAUACGGAGCUAGUGAAAUUUUGAUGAAGCUCUCAAGUCAAAAGUUGAGGAAUAUUAGGAAACUCUAUUGAUAUGUUUGAAGUGGUACAAGGAAAUUGAG
rnacentral:lncRNA from 1 species